GGGUUUAUAGCUCAUUGGUGGAGCAUUUGACUGCAGAUCAAGAUGUCACCGAUCUAAACUCGGUUAGAUUUG
rfam:Brassica napus, WGS project CCCW01000000 data, contig: 19221